rnacentral:rRNA from 1 species
UACGUAGGCAGCAAGCGUUAUUCGGAAUUACUGGGCUUAAAGAGUUCGUAGGCGGCGCAGAAAGUAGGGUGUGAAAGCCCUCGGCUCAACCGAGGAAUUGCGCUCUAAACUACUGUGCUUGAGGAAGCUAGAGGUGAGCAGAACUGAUGGUGGAGCGGUGAAAUGCGUUGAUAUCAUCAGGAAUACCGGAGGCGAAGGCGGCUCACUGGGGCUUUUCUGACGCUGAGGAACGAAAGCCAGGGUAGCGAACGGG